UACGACUACAUAUCAGGCAUAUCAAUAAGCGGAGGAAAAGAAACUAACAAGGAUUCCCUUAGUAACGGCGAGUGAAGCGGGAAGAGCUCAAAUUUGAAAUCUUCAAGGGUUCUACCUUGACGAAUUGUAGUUUAUAGAAGUGUUUUCUGUUAGAGGAGUAGCAAAAGUUCCUUGGAAUGGGACAUCAUAGAGGGUGAGAAUCCCGUAUUUGGUCAUUCCUUCUAGCUUUGUGAUACACUUUCAAAGAGUCGGAUUGUUUGGGAAUGCAGUCCAAAAUGGGUGGUAAAUUUCAUCUAAAGCUAAAUAUUGGCGAGAGACCGAUAGCGAACAAGUACCGUGAGGGAAAGAUGAAAAGAACUUUGAAAAGAGAGUUAAACAGUACGUGAAAUUGUCAAAAGGGAAGCGUUUGACACCAGUGUUGUUUUUCCGAAAAUCAAUUAAGAAGGGCUUGAUUUUGUGUUGUAUUGACCUUAUCAGCUUUCUUCACUCUUUUUCGAGUCUUUCUUAAUGCACUUUUCGGUUAACAAGUCAACAUCAAUUUCUUUUGUUGUAAAAGGGUAUUUGGAAGGUGGCUUUCUUUUCGGAGAAAGUGUUUAUAGCCUUAUACCUCUACAAUCGGAGAGAUUGAGGUCUGCAGCGUAGAUCCUUCGGGGCUAGAUACACUUGUGCUAAGUUAUAGCUUUUCAUAGACAACCUGUUGACUAUGUUUAGUCAUGUAGCUUACCCGCCUGUGCUAUUUUACCUACGCUUAGGAUGUUGAUCUACAGAGCGAGAGU
rnacentral:rRNA from 1 species